GAUGAACGCUAGCGGCAGGCCUAAUACAUGCAAGUCGAACGGGAUUAAGAGGCUUGCUUCUUAUGAGAGUGGCGCACGGGUGCGUAACACGUAUGCAACCUACCUUCAACUGGGGGAUAGCCUUCCGAAAGGGAGAUUAAUACCGCAUAAUAUAAUUGAGUGGCAUCACUUGAUUAUCAAACGUCAGGGUUGAAGAUGGGCAUGCGUCCGAUUAGUUUGUUGGUGAGGUAACGGCUCACCAAGACUACGAUAGGUAGGGGAUCUGAGAGGAUGGCCCCCCACACUGGAAGUGAGACACGGACCAGACUCCUACGGGAGGCAGCAGUAAGGAAUAUUGGUCAAUGGACGGAAGUCUGAACCAGCCAUGCCGCGUGCAGGAAGACGGUCCUCUGGAUUGUAAACUGCUUUUGUUAGAGAAGAAACUUCCGUACGUGUACGGGACUGACGGUACCUAAAGAAUAAGGAUCGGCUAACUCCGUGCCAGCCGCCGCAGUAAAAC
rnacentral:rRNA from 1 species